GGUCUGGUGGUGUAGUUGGUUAUCACGUCAGUCUAACAUUUCGAGCGUCCUAUGACUGCUCCUGUGUUCACUGAAGGUCUCCGGUUCAAGUCCGGGCUAGAUCA